UGGCUGUCGUCAGCUCGUGUCGUGAGAUGGUUGGGUUAACGUCCCGUAACGAGCGCCAACCCUUGUCCUUAGUUACCAGCACGUUAUGGUGGGCACUCUAAGGAGACUGCCGGUGACAAACCGGAGGAAGGUGGGGAUGACGUCAAGUCAUCAUGGCCCUUACGGCCUGGGCUACACACGUGCUACAAUGGUCGGUACAAAGGGUUGCCAAGCCGCGAGGUGGAGCUAAUCCCAUAAAACCGAUCGUAGUCCGGAUCGCAGUCUGCAACUCGACUGCGUGAAGUCGGAAUCGCUAGUAAUCGUGAAUCAGAAUGUCACGGUGAAUACGUUCCCGGGCCUU
rnacentral:rRNA from 1 species